UUACGGUCAAAUCACGCUGAAAACACCGGUUCUCGUUCGAUCACCGAAGUUAAGCAUCGUAGAGCCAGGUCAGUACUUAGAUGGGGACCGCUUGGGAAACCUGGUACUGUAAG